GAGUUUGAUCCUGGCUCCGAAUGAACGCUAGCAAGAUGCUUUACACAUGCAAGUCGAAUGUUUUUUUAUCUUAAAGAACAUGGCGUCCGGGUGAGUAUUGGAUAGGUAGAUGCUUCAUAGUCGGGAAAAUAAAGGUGUCUGCGACCGACAUUUAAAAAGUCCGAUCUUUGUUUUUAAGGAACAAAGGCAAAUUUUGUUGUGUCGAACCCUUUUUUGUUGGGUUUCGAAUCAAAAAACUAUGAAAUUUUCCUAUUCGAGAUUAGAUAGUUGGUGAGAAAAAAGCCCACCAAAUCAAUGAUCUCUCGCCGACGUGAAAGCGCGAACGGCCACACUGGAACUGAGAAAAGGUCCAGCGCCUACUAAGGUGCAGCAGUGAGGAAUCUUGGACAAUGAGCGAAAGCUUGAUCCAGCAAUCUUGCAUGAGUGAUGAAGACACAAGUUUAAUCGUUGUAAAACUCUUUCGUCGAGGAAGAUUAUGACUUUACUCGGAAAAGAAGUCCUGGCUCAUUUCCGUGCCAGCAGCAGCGGUAAUACGGAAGGGGCGAGCGUUAUUCCUAAUUAUUGGGCGUAAAGCGCACGUAGGCUGUUCAUUAGGUUUAAAUGAAAAUCCCAAGGCUCAACUUUGGACAUUGUUUAAAAACCGAUAAACUUUGAGUUUCAAAAAGGAUAAUGGAAUUUCUGGUGGAGAGGUUAAAUUCAUAGAUACUAGAGGGAAGACCAAGAGCCGAGGCAAUUAUCUAGUUGUAAACUGACGCUAAUGUGCGAAAGUGUGGGGAGCAAAUUGGAUUAGAUACCCAAGUAGUCCACACUGUGAACGAUGAGUGUUAAAUAUUGGGCUCCAAAGAGUUCAGUGUUGAAAGCUAACGCCUUAAACACUCCGCCUGGGAACUACGGCCGCAAGGUUGAAACUCAAAGGAAUUGGCGGGGAUUAGAACAAGCGGUGGAAUAUGUGGUUUAAUUCGAUAAAACGCGCAGAACCUUACCAGUUCUUGACAGUUGAUUCAAGACACUUUUCCAUGUUAAAUUUUGGAGAGCAUCGUACGCAAUCGUGAAUUGCAACUUGAAUCAUUUGUAACAGGUGUUGCAUGGCUAUCUGAAGUUCGUGUCGUGAAAUGUUUGGUUAAGUCCUUUUAACGAACGCAACCCUUAUUCAUGUUGUUUAUCCAACAGGCACAAAUCUUUUGCGCGCCCUUUUGUAGGCUUUUGGUAUCUGUGUUGAACAAUAAGCCUGCCAAAGAGCUUGUAUACAGACUUUGUUGCUCUGCAACUAUAUGGAUACACUCUCGAAAAUAGCCGGUGAAAGCUGGAUUAAAGUAAGGAUCACGUUAAGUCCUCAUGACCCUUAUGAACUGGGCUACACACGUAUUACAAUGGCAAUUACAAUUUGAUGCAAUAACGCAAGUUGGAGCAAAUCUUUAAAAAUUGUCCAAGUUCGGAUUGUUUUCUGCAACUCGAAAGCAUGAAGCUGGAAUCGCUAGUAAUCGUAGAUCAGCAUGCUACGGUGAAUAUGUAAACUAAUCUUGUACACACCGCCCGUCAAGUCCCGGAAAUCAGUCGAACUCGAAAGAAAUAGCUUAUUUUGAUAUCUUGGGGGGUGGUCUUCGACACGUGGAGCGCCUUGCUUAUAACGCCUAAGGUCUCUUUGUAAGUAUUUCUCAUAGUACCGCUAAUAACUGGGAUUAAGUCGUAACAAGGUAGUCCUAGGGGAACCUGGGGCUG
rnacentral:ncRNA from 1 species